rfam:Flammeovirga sp. SJP92 Scaffold6_1, whole genome shotgun sequence.
GCGAAAAUAGCUCAGCUGGUAGAGCGCAACCUUGCCAAGGUUGAGGUCGCGGGUUCGAACCCCGUUUUUCGCU